GUAAGGAGGGGGCGCUCCGGUUCGCCCGCGUUGCGGGCGUCGCAAGAGGGAAUCCGGUGAGAAACCGGGACUGCCCCCGCAGCGGUGAGUGGCGACGAACGCCGCAAGAUGCACUGGCUCUCGAGCUGGGAAGCAGCGGCUACUAGGAAGACCCACGAGUCCGAAGACCUGCCGGAAGCCGCCAUCUCGU
rnacentral:ncRNA from 1 species